CAUUAUUAUAUCCCAAACAACAGUAGACCAUACAAAAGUACUCAACAUAAUAUUGAUCACAAUACUUUCUACCAACUUCAAAGGGAAGUCCGUGUUGCCCUUUUCAAGGAAAUUUAACCAGAACGGCGAGAGAGAACAGCCACUGAACGCCAUGGAACUGCAACUGAAUAAAUGUUUAUAUUUUUUCCACCUCAAUUCGAUUGAUGGUAUAUUAAUUGGCCGCAAUGCAAUCGUUCAGCUGGAAAAUUACUUAAUAAAUUUUACUUAAUACCAA